rnacentral:rRNA from 1 species
GGUAAACGGCGGCCGUAACUAUAACGGUCCUAAGGUAGCGAAAUUCCUUGUCGGGUAAGUUCCGACCUGCACGAAUGGCGUAAUGAUGGCCAGGCUGUCUCCACCCGAGACUCAGUGAAAUUGAACUCGCUGUGAAGAUGCAGUGUACCCGCGGCAAGACGGAAAGACCCCGUGAACCUUUACUAUAGCUUGACACUGAACAUUGAGCCUUGAUGUGUAGGAUAGGUGGGAGGCUUUGAAGUGUGGACGCCAGUCUGCAUGGAGCCGACCUUGAAAUACCACCCUUUAAUGUUUGAUGUUCUAACGUGGACCCGUAAUCCGGGUUGCGGACAGUGUCUGGUGGGUAGUUUGACUGGGGCGGUCUCCUCCUAAAGAGUAACGGAGGAGCACGAAGGUUGGCUAAUCCUGGUCGGACAUCAGGAGGUUAGUGCAAUGGCAUAAGCCAGCUUGACUGCGAGCGUGACGGCGCGAGCAGGUGCGAAAGCAGGUCAUAGUGAUCCGGUGGUUCUGAAUGGAAGGGCCAUCGCUCAACGGAUAAAAGGUACUCCG